rnacentral:rRNA from 1 species
CCUACGGGUGGCAGCAGUGAGGAAUAUUGGUCAAUGGUCGGGAGACUGAACCAGCCAAGCCGCGUGAGGGAGGAAGGUACAGAGUAUCGUAAACCUCUUUUGUCAGGGAACAAAGACUGGGACGCGUCCCCGGAUGAGUGUACCUGAAGAAAAAGCAUCGCCUAACCCCGUGCCAGCAGCCGCGGUAAUACGGGGGAUGCGAGCGUUAUCCGGAUUUAUUGGGUUAAAAGGGUGCGCAGGGGUGUUGUUAAGUCAGCGGUAAAAGCCCGGGGCUCAACCCCGGCCCGCCGUUGAAACUGGCAGUCUAGAGUUGGAUAGAAGUAUGCGGAAUGCGCGGUGUAGCGGUGAAAUGCAUAGAUAUCGCGCAGAACUCCGAUUGCGAAGGCAGCAUGCCGG